CCCGCACAAGCGGUGGAGCAUGUGGUUUAAUUCGACGCAACGCGAAAAACCUUACCUGGGCUUGACAUGGAGAGAAUCUUCUGGAAACAGAAGAGUGCCUCGUAAGAGGAGCUCUCACACAGGUGCUGCAUGGCUGUCGUCAGCUCGUGCCGUGAGGUGUUGGGUUAAGUCCCGCAACGAGCGCAACCCUCAUCUCUAGUUGCCAUCAUUAAGUUGGGCACUCUAGAGAAACUGCCGCAGUUAAUGCGGAGGAAGGUGGGGAUGACGUCAAGUCCUCAUGGCCCUUAUGUCCAGGGCUACACACGUGCUACAAUGGGCGGUACAAAGGGUCGCAAACCCGUAAGGGGGAGCAAAUCCAUCGAAAGCCGUCCUCAGUUCGGAUUGAGGUCUGCAACUCGACUCCAUGAAGUUGGAAUCGCUAGUAAUCGCGGAUCAGCACGCCGCGGUGAAUACGUUCCCGGGCCUU
rnacentral:rRNA from 1 species